rnacentral:rRNA from 1 species
GUACACUCCUACGGGAGGCAGCAGUGGGGAAUUUUGGACAAUGGGCGAAAGCCUGAUCCAGCAAUGCCGCGUGAGUGAAGAAGGCCUUCGGGUUGUAAAGCUCUUUUGUCAGGGAAGAAACGGUGAAAGCUAAUAUCUUUUGCUAAUGACGGUACCUGAAGAAUAAGCACCGGCUAACUACGUGCCAGCAGCCGCGGUAAUACGUAGGGUGCAAGCGUUAAUCGGAAUUACUGGGCGUAAAGCGUGCGCAGGCGGUUUUGUAAGUCUGAUGUGAAAUCCCCGGGCUCAACCUGGGAAUUGCAUUGGAGACUGCAAGGGUAGAAUCUGGCAGAGGGGGGUAGAAUUCCACGUGUAGCAGUGAAAUGCGUAGAUAUGUGGAGGAACACCGAUGGCGAAGGCAGCCCCCUGGGUCAAGAUUGACGCUCAUGCACGAAAGCGUGGGGAGCAAACAGGAUUAGAUACCCUGGUAGUCCC